CACGGCUUCAAAUUACCGUCAUCAUCAUCGCCUCGUAUCCACCAUCUCCUCUCCCUUGCUAUUGUUUCUGAUCCUGUCGCCCAACACCCCUAGAUCGGCACCUCCCUUUUCUCAUAGAUCCGUCUCUCAAUCUCUCUCCUGGCUCUCUGAAAAUUGUUUGGAUGACCCUGGGAAUACGUUUUAAGAAUGACUUCAAGUAUGAUGGCUGGAGAGCGAAGGUGGGCUUCGGCGAGAAGAGGUGGCAUGACUGUUCUGGGAAAAGUUGCUGUUCCAAAACCUUUGAACUUACCCAGCCAAAGGUUAGAAAAUCAUGGAAUGGACCCAACUGUGGAAAUUGUUCCCAAGGGUACCCUUAGCUGGGGAAGUCGACCAUCAUCCUCUACCUCAAAUCCAUGGGGUUCCUCCACCUUGUCCCCAAAGGCUGAUGGUGGUACCAGUUCUCCAAGUCAUCUCAGCGGUCGCCCUUCUUCUGGAAGUGGUACCAGGCCGUCAAGUUCUUGUAGUGAUAGAACCCAUGAACUUAAUUCCAAUGCAUGGGGUCCAAGUUCUAGGCCAUCAUCAGCUUCUGGAGCUUUGGCAUCAAAUCAAACAGCUCUGACGUCAUUACGUCCUCGGAGUGCGGAGACAAGGCCUGGUAGUUCGCACUUGUCACGGUUUGCUGAAACCUCAUCUGAUAGUUCUGUUGCGUGGGGUCCAACUGGUGUUUCAGAAAAAUUGGGAGUGGCAUCAUCCAGGAAUGAUGGGUUCUCUCUGAGUUCUGGAGAUUUUCCGACGCUUGGUUCAGAAAAAGAAAAUUCUGGAAAAAGUGCAGACUCACAAGAUCAUGCUCCUCAUAGUCGUCCUGGCUCAUCUUCCAGAGUGGCCUCGGGAAAAGAGAAUAGUGCAACUUCUUCAGUUGGUGACAAUUCUAUAAAUGCCAAUGUGACUGUAAAUACUUGGAGGAGAGAUGGUCCGCAACAUGUUGAAGAAGGGAUGUUUCAGCCUCCAGUGGAGAAGUGGCAGGGGGAACCCCCACCAUAUCUUAAUGCUAAUGUUCCUCCUCAGCACUUUGAUGCGUGGCGCGGUCCCCCUUUAAAUCCUCCUCCUGGGGUUUGGUACAGAGGACCUCCAGGAGGUCCACCUUAUGCAACUCCAGUCGGAGUCGGUCCCGGUGGAUUCCCCAUGGAACCAUUUCCUUACUAUCGCCCUCAAAUUCCACCUCCUGCUUUAGCAAACUCGCAACCAGUUCCUCCGGGGCCUGGACCAAGAGGACACCAUCCUAAAAAUGGAGACAUGUACAGACCCCACAUUCCGGAUGGUUAUGUUCGUCCAGGUAUGCCCCUUAGGCCUGGUUUUUAUCCCGGUCCCGUGCCAUAUGAGGGUUAUUAUGGGCCUCCUAUGGCCUACUGCAAUUCUAGUGAACGAGAUUUCCCAUUUAUGGGAAUGCCAGCUGGCCCCCCUAUUUACAGCAGGUACCCUGGCGAAAAUGCUCCUCCUGAUCCAGGCAACAAUCAUGCCAGAGCUGGUCCGCAUGGACCCACAGGAAGAGCACCGGGCUCGGAACAAUUGGAAUCCGGUCCUCCAGAGGAAGCUCGUGGGCCAUACAAAGUUCUUCUGAAGCAACACAAUGAAUGGGAUGAAACACGGGCGGAAGACAAAUGGGAGCACACUGUACCAGAUAAUGCCCCAUAUGGUGGGAAGGGGGACCCACCAAGAAAUUCAUUGAAGAAAAAUGAGUGGGGAUCAGAAGACAGGAAAGAUGAUGAGAUUUAUUCAGGAAGAAGGAUUCUUGGUGGAAAUGAUAUUUCCUCCCGGAAUUUUGACAAUCGUGGAAGAUAUUCUUCAGAUUUACCUGAAAGUAGGGGCAAGGCAAAGACGGGUCAAAAUUCUGUGCACAAAUCGGAAAAUGAAGCAUCCACAUUUUCACAAGGACGUCAAGCAUUUCCAGCUACUCCCAAAGAUUCAACUUUGCUACAAAAAAUUGAUGGUCUAAAUGCUAAAGUCCGAGCUUCUGAUGGACGGCCCGAUGCUGCAUCAGUUCCAAGAGUGGAAGAGCAAAUGAGUAGGUUGCAAGUAGUCACUGCCAAGGUCAAUCAUCCAAGGCAUGAAGGUGGUACUGAUUUUGGGAGAAUUCACACGAGUGGAAAUCUUGUUCCUGCUUCCCGUGAACUGGAUAUUCCAACUGCUGGUAAUGCCCUUCAUUCAACAUCUUCCAGUGGAACAACCGAUUCAAGGAGAGCUAGUCAUGGGGUGCAGGGUAGGCUUGACCAUCGCGGUAAAAGAUUCAACACUCCGGAUGCCGAUGGGUGGCGAAAGAAACCUCUUGGCGCUGAGUUUACCGGUGCAGUUUCAGCUUUAAAUUCAGAACCAAGUUCUAACGUUCACGCACAAGACCACCUUUCAUCUGUUAUUGCUGCUGAGAAGUAUGUGAUCAACCUUCAAGAGAAGGACGAGGGAGAGUCUCUGACACCAAUGUUUGAUCCAAGUGAUUGCCAAGAACAGCGUGCUAAGAUGAGGGAGAUAGCGAAGCAACGGGCUUUACAACUACAGAAAGAGGAGGAGGAGCGCAUAAGAGAGCAGAAGGCAAAGGCUCUUGCAAAAUUAGAAGAGCUGAAUAGGCGCACUCAGGCUACUGAUGGUAAUGGUUCAACUCAGAAGUUGGAAAAAGCUCCACCUAGUGUUUCUAUCCAACAAGAAAAAGAAGAAUGCCAGGUACCCACUGAGCAAGUGAUGGUUGCAAGCAAAUUUGAAACACCAACAUCCGAAUUGGUUUCUAACCCUAAUGCUCAGACUACAAAGAGCAGUGCCAUUGAGGUCGUGGAAUCUACGCAUCUGUCCAAUGCUCCACCCAUGGAGACAUCAGAGAAUCCGCAACUCAAACCAGUUGUUCCACAUACUGCUAGUGCUGCCGACCCUAAAGCUGCGACCCAAGUUAAUGAAGGCAGUACUUCCAGGCAUAAGCGCAUGGGACAUAAACAGAAGCAGAAUAUUUCACUGGGAGGGAACUUGACAGAAAAGUCGGUUCCUAUCAGUUCAACUGUGGCACAAAAGAAUAGCACUGAUGUGGCUGUUAAUGAUGCAUCAACUGAAGUUGUAGCCGGUGAAGUAGGCCCAAGCCGUGAGUCAAGCUUGCCCGUGAACUCGAAUGUCUUGACGGAGUCCUCAGCACAUCAGAGGAGGAAAAUUAAUAGAAGCAGCAAAAACAAGCAUAAGUCGGAUGAUGUGCCCUCUGUAACUGCUUUAGUGCCAAAAGAAACUAAUGCUGAAAAAGCUUCCGUUGAAAGUGGAAAGCUAGGGUCUUCUGAGUUGGAGUUGGAUCUCAGUUCAGUUCAUUUUUCGGAGCAACAAAGGACUUCGUUACUGAAUGAAGAACCCUCCGGUAGGGCUAACAGCCAGUGGAAAUCUCAGCACACUCGCCGGAUGCCAAAAAGCCAACAAGCUAAUAGAAAUGCAGAGAAAGACGCUGUGAUGUGGGCACCUGUGCGGUCAGAUAAGAAAGCUGAGUUUAUAGAUGAAGCCAGUAACAGAACCAUACCUGACCCUAUUAUUGGAACAGCAAAGGCCGAUAGCGUCAUUCACAAUAAUACGAAAAGCAAGAGGGCUGAGAUGGAGAGGUAUGUGCCGAAACCAGUAGCCAAAGAACAACUGGCUCAGCAGACUUUAUUAGAGGAGACUGUUGAAAAUUGUCAAACUGUAAACUUAACAAUUGGGAAUAUAGUUUGUACUGUCGAGUCUGGGAAUGAUAAUCAGAAUAAGCAAUCCAAAGCGCCUGGAUCAUGGCGGCAGAGGGGUUCACCGGAUGGAUCCUCGUCUAUUUUGGACCCUAGCCAGAAUAUCCAGGAAUCCAUUGAGCAACAACAGCAGUCGUUGAAGCCUGAAGUAAACUCUGUGAAAGAGAGAACAAAGUCGUCUGAUGAUUGGAACGCUUCUGACGGCUGGAAUACUUCUGAAACUUUUGACACAGCAGCACCCGUUCCAUCUGCUCUUGUGAAAGAGCAGGGAGUAAUAACAGGCAGAGGAAAGCGGCAACCAUUUAGAGGUCAGAGAAAUGUAAUUAGUGGGGACAAUGAUAAAAGUUCUUCUCAGACUCCAGCCCCUGAGGUAGUAGGUCAAACAGACAAAAGUAGUGCUGCAAAGGAAAACCGGACAACUUCUCAGUGGCAACCCAAAUCCCAGGUCUAUGCAUUUCCUAAUCAGAGGGCAAGCAGGCCCGGUGGAGGACAAAGUGGUACUGCUGCUGAAGCCAGAAACCCUAUCAAAAAGGAUUCACACUCCCAUGAUAGGGUUCAAAUGGCAUCCGACCAUAAAAACCAGAGAGCGGAACAUACGGUGCAACCUUCAAAUGAACAAUCUGUUCCGGAACAGAAGAAUGAGGAGGUAAUACCAAAUGAAGCGCAUCAAGAGUCUAAGAGAGAGAAGAAUGUAGCUUCAUUCAGAGGGCAACCCAAUCCCCCUAACCAAAGCUCUGCUGUUAGCACGACUGAUUUGGUUCCUCUGCCAAGUGGAGACACUGAAAAUGAGCAGCAGCGAUUCUCCUCUGGGUUCCGGAAAAAUGGGAACCAAAACAAUCGCUCUGGUAGGGUCCAUGAAUCUCGUGGAGAUUGGAGCUUAGGUGGACAGGAUAACAGGCAGCAUAAUAAUACGUCUUCAAACCGAGAGAGACAGAGACAUAGUUCACAUUAUGAGUACCAGCCAAUUGGACAGCAAAAUUACAGCAAGACCAACAAUUUUGAAGGGUCCGUAGAUGGCUCUCAUAAUCCAGGCACAAGGUACAGGGAGAAGAGCCAGGGUAACUCGAGGCGUGGUGGGGGUAAUUUUAGCAAUCGGCAAGGUGGAACUGCCCGCUUAGAUGCCAGUUAUGAUUAAUGGGAAACACAGAUUAGAAUUGGGUUAUUUUUCGGUGGUCAAAAACCAUUCCUCCACACUGGGUUUUGGAUGCUUUAGCCAAUAUUUCAGGGUUGUGGGGAAAGCGUAUGGUGCCGUGACAAAAUGUUUUGUUUAUGCGAGCAACUCGGAUGUGGUCGCUUUCGUUCUUGUUUCAAGAUGUAAUUGAUUUGAACGUCAUAUUCCGGCCAUGGCUUAGCUUGUUAGUCGUGCACCUCUUAGCAUUUUUUUUUCCUGAGCGAUGUAUUUAGUGGCCAUCAUCUGUGUGUUUCAAACAUGGUAUGUUAGGAAAUGGUUUAGUGAAGGUGUUUUCCUUUUUCCUUGGCU